rnacentral:rRNA from 1 species
UACAGAGACGGCAAGCGUUGUUCGGAUUCAUUGGGCGUAAAGGGUGCGUAGGCGGUCGGCUAAGUCGGAUGUGAAAUCUCACAGCCCAACUGUGAUAGGUCAUUCGAAACUGGCUGGCUUGAGGACUGGAGAGGAGACUGGAAUUGUCGGUGUAGCGGUGAAAUGCGUAGAGAUCGACAAGAACACCGGUGGCGAAGGCGGGUCUCUGGACAGUUCCUGACGCUGAGGCACGAAAGCCAGGGGAGCAAACGGG